AUGACUUGAAGAAUAGCAAUAGUUUUGAAAAAUAACAAUAUUUUCUGUCCUUGAAAAAUACAUUUUGGUUGAAAACCAGUAAGUCAUCGUUUGCACAUCAAUCAAGAGCCAGGCUUGUCCUGUGAUACAAUUGCACCCAAGGCUUGGCUGUGUCACUGCUUUCCUUUAUCCUUUAUCCUGUUUGUAUCAGAUGCUUCAUUCCUAAUGACAUUAUCAGUAAUAGAAUAUAAAGCCUGCACCAGUCAUUCCAACAGAAGCUGCUUCCUUGUUCUUCCCAAUCAAGAAUCUCCGAUUUCUUUUUAUAUCUUUAUAAGAAACAUGGCUAUCAAUCUUUCAGAACAAGUCCAUAUUCCUUGGGAGUCUCAGGAACACACCAUGAAGAUUGCGGUUCUUCUCACUGUUGCACUUGCAUUUUCCUAUGAUACUUUUAAGGGUUGCUCCACUUAUGAUGAGUGUCAAAGUAUGAAGAAAUUUGC